rnacentral:rRNA from 1 species
UACGAAGGGGGCUAGCGUUGCUCGGAAUCACUGGGCGUAAAGCGCACGUAGGCGGACUCUUAAGUCCUGCGUGAAAUCUUGCGGCUCAACCGCAAGCGGUCGUGGGAAACUGGGUGGCUAGAGUGCGGGAGAGGAGAGUGGAAUUCCUGGUGUAGCGGUGGAAUGCGCAGAUAUCAGGAAGAACACCCGUGGCGAAGGCGGCUCUCUGGAACGCAACUGACGCUGAGACGCGAAAGCGUGGGGAGCAAACAGG